rnacentral:rRNA from 1 species
GACGACGCUGGCGGCGUGCCUAACACAUGCAAGUCAAGGGUGUAGCAAUACACACUGGCGAACGGGUGAGUAACGCGUAGGUUACCUGCCCUUAUCCCCGACACAACUCAGAGAAAUUUGAGCUAAUAUCGGAUGAGGCAUUUCGAUGUCAAAGGAGCAAUCUGGAUAAGGAGGGGCCUGCGUCUGAUUAGCUAGUUGGUAGGGUAAUAGCUUACCAAGGCGACGAUCAGUAGCUGGUCUGAGAGGAUGAUCAGCCACACUGGAACUGAGACACGGUCCAGACUCCUACGGGAGGCAGCAGUGAGGAAUAUUGGUCAAUGGACGAAAGUCUGAACCAGCGACGCCGCGUGUGGGACGAAGGAGCUUUGCUCUGUAAACCACUGUCGGAAGGGAAAAAAAGAAGUACGAACUUCUGGGAUUGUACCUUCAAAGGAAGGAUCGGCUAACUACGUG